AACACUCUAACUCAUUCUCUCUCUCAUAAUCUCGGCCGAACACGCUCACACACAUACACAUUCAAAAAUUUCAAGUCAUUCCAUGAAGAUUCAAGGUCCUUUCAAGGUGAUUCCAAGCUUGUAAGAAGGUUUGGAAGUGAUUUCAAGCAAGAACAAGUCUCAUAUUACCAUCUUUUCUUAAAAACCCACUUUGAAAACGUGAAGGACGUAUAUAAUCAAUUUCUGGGAUUGCAGUAUUAAAAUACGCACCCAAAGGUACUUAAGUUCGGCUUCGGGAAAAAUCAUGGCGUAUCUUAUGUUUGAUGAUGCAUGAUGUUAUGUUUAAUUAUGUUGGACAACUUUUAAACUACCUGGGGCGUUUGUAAUAAGAUCCGUGAGGAUCAUAACAACUUAACUUAUGUGGUCGU